UAUUUUAAUUUUCGAAAUGAGUAAAUCGUACACACUUCCAUGUAAUUUUUUUAAGUGUGUCAUAUUAAAAAACCAAAACAAGGCGACGACGGUGGUGUUUUUUUGCAGCUAGAUUUUUGGAAUUUGUUACCAAAAUACCUCUGAGAAACAUCCGGACCAGGUCCUGUCGGGUUGCUUUAUCGGCAUGCGAAAUACGGAAACUCCCUGCGCAUCUGCGAUAUUGACACACCGAGAGCGUUGUUCAGAUCCUGGCUAGCCACUUUUGGUUCGAGGAUAAUCGAGUACGAGCAGUUCAUGCCGUGCACCAGCUGCUGGGAAACUAUCGAUUGUUGUCGAAUUUGUCUAACGAGGAGGAGGUUGGGGAUGGAGAGUGCAAGCUUUCGACCGAUGAGUAGGGAUUCCCGGAGCCGUUGCAGAAUGAAGCUUCAAGUCGUGCUGGGGAAGGGACAUUGGCAGAUAAUGUGAAAACGGUCGGUCGGAUCGGGUGAAAGCGACGACAUAAGGAAUUGGGAGGAGGAGGAAACGAUUGAGAACUCGUCGAAGACGAUCGCUGCCAGACGCAGCCAAGGGAAGAACCCAGUCCGAAGGGGUCGUCGAACUACUAGUAGGUACAAAGAUGCUUACAUCCGGCGAAACUUCCUGGAGAUACAUCCCAGGAAAGUGUAAAUAAUCUUUCCGAAGGUGAGUGUUAUUGCGCAUUUCACACCCCACUGAUCUCUUUGGCAAGUGUGUACCUAUACAUAUGAAGGGGUUCGAAGCAAAGGGGUGUAAGUGACGAAAACCCACUUUCGAGUAAAUGAGGUUUAAAGUUUUUCACCAAUUUUCCGUCCCAUACAAAAUGUAUGGUGUUUCAAAGUCAAAAAAAAAGUUCCUGAAAGAUUGAAAUCUGUAGAAUUUUAUGAUAUGCACAGCAUAUGGUCACAAAAUGAUCACUUACACCCCUUUGAUUCUGGGCCCCUCAUAUAUACCGCUCGUUUAUAAGAUUUAUAUUCGAAUCGUAUGAAAGUUCACAGUUCAGUAGUUUCCGAUUCGAUAAAGGGUCAGACAGAAGGACAGAAAUUCAUUUUUAUAUAUAGAAUAGAUCGAGGAAUAGAUAGACAGAUUUAUCGAAUCUUGUAAUAUU